CAUAAUAUUUAAAAUGAGGAAUUUAUUUAAAUCAUAAAUCAAUAAUUUUCCUCAACAUUCAUAUAUAAUGGCUAUUCUAGUUUGGUACCCAAGUUUUUCUGCCAUUUUUGUUCUUACUCUUGUAACAGGUGACAUGGGAGAUUCUAACUUGAUUCCAACAAAAAUGGAGAAUAUUAUGAGUGGUAGAGAUGAUAUAGAUAAUGAUUAUCAAUGUUCAGCAAAUUUAGGUCCAUGUAAUUAUGAAUAUUGCAAUGAAGCUUGUUGUAUUAGGCUAUGUAAUAAUUAUUAUAGUGGACUUCACCCAAGGCCAAUGUGUGAAGAUGUGGGACCUAGGUAUAAGUAUAAAUUAUGUAUUUGUUGGCAUGAUUGUUAUAAAAAUUAAUAGACAAUCUUAUAUUAUAUAAAUAAUACCUAAUUUGGAUUUAUAUUAUAUAUAUAAAAAUAUCCAAAGUAUUGGGAGUAAUUAACUUGUAA